UACAGAGGUGGCAAGCGUUGUUCGGAAUUACUGGGCGUAAAGGGCGCGUAGGCGGUUCGUUAAGUCCUGUGUGAAAUCCCCCGGCUCAACUGGGGAACUGCACAGGAAACUAGCGGGCUUGAGUUCGGGAGAGGGAAGCGGAAUUCCGGGUGUAGCGGUGAAAUGCGUAGAUAUCUGGAGGAACACCAGUGGCGAAAGCGCGUGACUGGGCCACAACUGACGCUGAGGAACGAAAGCCAGGGGAGCAAACGGG
rnacentral:rRNA from 1 species